UGGGGUGUAGCCAAGUGGUAAGGCAAGGGACUUUGACUCCCUCACUCGCUGGUUCGAGUCCAGCCAUCCCAGCCA
rnacentral:tRNA from 2 species